UCUCUCUCACUCAGACGCCUAGUGACAGACGCACUCUCUCUCUCUCACUCAGACACCUAGUGACAGACGCACUCUCUCUCUCUCACUCAGACACCUAGUGACAGACGCACUCACAGACACACACACUGACAGACAUAGUCACUCACAGACACACACACAUAGUGCCAGCCAGCCAGACACACACACAUUCCCCCUUGCCCCCCCUCCCC